rnacentral:rRNA from 1 species
GAGUUUGAUCCUGGCUCAGGAUGAACGCUGGCGGAGUGCCUAACACAUGCAAGUCGAGCGGCAGCACGAGUAGUUUACUACUUGGUGGCGAGCGGCGGACGGCUGAGUAACGCGUGGGAACGUGCCCCAAAGUGAGGAAUAACUGCCCGAAAGGGUAGCUAAUGCCGCAUAUGAUCUUCGGAUUAAAGUAUUUAUUACGCUUUGGGAGCGGCCCGCGUCCGAUUAGGUAGUUGGUGAGGUAAAGGCUCACCAAGCCCACGAUCGGUAGCUGGUCUGAGAGGAUGACCAGCCAGACUGGAACUGAGACACGGUCCAGACUCCUACGGGAGGCAGCAGUGAGGAAUCUUCCACAAUGGACGAAAGUCUGAUGGAGCAACUCCGCGUGCAGGAUGAAGGCCUUCGGGUCGUAAACUGCUUUUAUGAGUGAAGAAUAUGACGGUAACUCAUGAAUAAGGGUCGGCUAACUACGUGCCAGCAGCCGCGGUCAUACGUAGGACCCAAGCGUUAUCCGGAGUGACUGGGCGUAAAGAGUUGCGUAGGUGGUUUGUAAAGUGAAUAGUGAAAUCUGGCGGCUCAACCGUACAGGCUAUUAUUCAAACUCACAAACUCGAGAAUGGUAGAGGUAACUGGGAAUUUCUUGUGUAGGAGUGAAAUCCGUAGAUAUAAGAAGGAACACCAAUGGCGUAGCAGGUUACUGGACCAUUUCUGACACUGAGCACGAAAGCGUGGGAGCGAACCGGAUUAGAUACCCGGGUAGUCCACGCCGUAACGAUGGAUACUAGCUGUUGGA